rnacentral:rRNA from 1 species
UUUGGCACCUCGAUGUCGGCUCAUCUCAUCCUGGGGCUGAAGCAGGUCCCAAGGGUAUGGCUGUUCGCCAUUUAAAGAGGUACGCGAGCUGGGUUUAGAACGUCGUGAGACAGUUCGGUCCCUAUCUACCGUGGGCGCUGGAAAUUUGAGAGGAUCUGCUCCUAGUACGAGAGGACCAGAGUGGACGAACCUCUGGUGUACCGGUUGUGACGCCAGUCGCAUCGCCGGGUAGCUAUGUUCGGAAGGGAUAACCGCUGAAAGCAUCUAAGCGGGAAGCCUACCUCAAGAUAAGAUUUCCCUAGGACUUUAUGUCCUCUAAAGAGCCGUUCGAGACUAGGACGUUGAUAGGUUGGAUGUGGAAGCAUAGUGAUAUGUGAAGCUGACCAAUACUAAUUGCUCGUGAGGCUUGACUAUACAAAACCCAAGCAGUUG